rnacentral:rRNA from 1 species
CUUUUUGUAUAUUAAUAUAAAGUCUGACCUGCCCACUGAUGUUAAUUAAAUGGCCGCAGUAUUUUAACUGUGCAAAGGUAGCAUAAUCAUUAGUCUUUUAAUUGGAGGCUAGUAUGAAUGGUUGAACGAAACAUAAUCUGUAUCAAUUUAAUUAGUUGAAUUUUAUCUUUUAGUUAAAAAGCUAAAAUUUUUAUAAAAGACGAGAAGACCCUAUAGAUCUUUAUAUUUUAAUUAAUUUUGGUUAUUUAGAUAAAUUAAAUUGAGAUUAAUUUGAAUAUUUUGUUGGGGUGACAUUAAGAUUUACAUAACUCUUAAUUUAUUUUUACACUACUGAGUGAAUAAUUAGUUGAUCCUGUAUUAUGGAUUUAAAAAUUAAGUUACCUUAGGGAUAACAGCGUUAUUUUUCUGGAGAGUUCUUAUCGAUAGAAAAGAUUGCGACCUCGAUGUUGGAUUAAGAUUAAUAUUGGGUGUAGAAGCUUAAAUAAUUAAGUCUGUUCGACUUUUAAUUUCUUACGUGAUCUGAGUUCA